AGGAAAAAAUAAGUAUUUCUUGGUUGCUUGUUAACAGCAGAAUAGCAAUCCGUCACCACAGGGUUACCACACUGGGCAUCGUUAUCUUUGGAUCCUUAUCAAUUUCACUAUAUGGUUGUUGUGUGACUGUUCCAAAGGCAGUGAGACAGAACCGGUAGCAUUCCUCUGUUUGGAAUGAAGGCACAACAGCACCAGACACAACGACACAAAUGCAAGAUGGCUGAGGCCACCAUCUGCAGGACAUCAAAGUCUGCUGCCUGAUGGCAAAUGGGCUGCCAAAGCUUCUAAAGGCUUUGGCGCUGGACUGUCAAUCGGAUGCAAACUGUCCAUCUGCUGCAUGGCACAAGUGACAGCUGAAUCUUUUGCGGUCCGUAAGAUGAACUGGACCCCAAGCCAAUUCAUCCCUGUUCCUAAUCACACAAGAUGCAUUUUGGUUGCCAGCAAAGCUGGAUCAUCUGGUCAGGGUACUGAAUAAAGGCAAGAUGGCAGAUCAUGAGGUUAUGUCUAGUUUAAUGGAAAGAAGGAUUAGGAGUGGCA